AUUUUCAGCCGUCUGGUAGGAGAAUCUAAGGAAGUGGGAGAACAAGGCGCCGAAUAUGACAGUAUCGGCGGUGAUGGUAACGGUGAUAGACAGGGCGAUGGAGACGAUGGAGAAGAUAGAGAUGAUGGUGAAAGUGAAGGCGAUGGUGAUGAUGAUGAAAAUAACAUGGACAGUGGCGAUGAAGAGAGAUCGCAAGUCUCUCUUAACCUCCUCUUAUUGUUGUUCUUGAUGUUGUUGUUGUUGCCUAUUUGUUGGUUCUUCACUCUGAACUCUCUGGCGGUCAUGUAAUCUCUUAAUCGUUUCACGUC
rnacentral:misc_RNA from 1 species